CGGUUGAUCCUGCCGGAGGCUAUUGCUAUCAGGGUUUGACUAAGCCAUGCGAGUCGAGAGGUGAAAGACCUCGGCAUACUGCUCAGUAACACGUGGAUAAUCUGCCCUCAGGUGAGGAAUAAUCCCGGGAAACUGGGGCUAAUCCCUCAUAGGAGACGGGUGCUGGAAUGCUCUGUCUCUGAAAGGUCCGCCGCCUGAGGAUGAGUCUGCGUCCGAUUAGGUUGUUGUUGGGGUAACGGCCCACCAAGCCAUUGAUCGGUACGGGUUGUGAGAGCAAGAGCCCGGAGAUGGAUUCUGAGACAUGAAUCCAGGCCCUACGGGGCGCAGCAGGCGCGAAAACUUUACAAUGCGAGCAAUCGUGAUAAGGAAACCCUGAGUGCCUGUCAAUGCAGGCUGUUCUGGUGUUUAGUCAGCACCAGGAGAAAGGGCGGGGCAAGACCGGUGCCAGCCGCCGCGGUAAUACCGGCUGCUCGAGUGGUAGCCACUUUUACUGGGCUUAAAGCGUUCGUAGCUUGGUCGUUAAGUCUCUGGGGAAAUCUUUUGGCUCAACCAAAAGACGUCUCAGAGAAACUGGCGACCUUGGGACCGGGAGAGGUAAGACGUACUUCGGGGGUAGGAGUGAAAUCUUGUAAUCCCCGAGGGACGACCGAUGGCGAAGGCAUCUUACCAGAACGGCUCCGACAGUGAGGGACGAAAGCUGGGGGAGCAAACCGGAUUAGAUACCCGGGUAGUCCCAGCCGUAAACGAUGUGCGUUAGGUGUGUCAGUGACCACGAGUCACUGAGGUGCCGAAGGGAAACCGUGAAACGCACCGCCUGGGAAGUANGGUCGCAAGGCUGAAACUUAAAGGAAUUGGCGGGGGAGCAC
rnacentral:rRNA from 1 species